rnacentral:rRNA from 1 species
UUAUACAGCGAAACUGCGAAUGGCUCAUUAUAUAAGUUAUCGUUUAUUUGAUAGUACCUUACUACUUGGAUAACCGUGGUAAUUCUAGAGCUAAUACAUGCUAAAAAUCCCGACUUCGGAAGGGAUGUAUUUAUUAGAUUAAAAACCAAUGCCCUCUGGGCUCCUUGGUGAUUCAUAAUAACUUUUCGAAUCGCAUGGCCUUGCGCCGGCGAUGGUUCAUUCAAAUUUCUUCCCUAUCAACUUUCGAUGUUUGGGUAUUGGCCAAACAUGGUCGCAACGGGUAACGGAGGGUUAGGGCUCGACCCCGGAGAAGGAGCCUGAGAAACGGCUACUACAUCCAAGGAAGGCAGCAGGCGCGCAAAUUACCCAAUCCCGAUUCGGGGAGGUAGUGACAAUAAAUACUGAUACAGGGCUCUUUUGGGUCUUGUAAUUGGAAUGAGUACAAUUUAAAUCCCUUAACGAGGAACAAUUGGAGGGCAAGUCUGGUGCCAGCAGCCGCGGUAAUUCCAGCUCCAAUAGCGUAUAUUAAAGUUGUUGUGGUUAAAAAGCUCGUAGUUGAACCUUGGGCCUGGCUGGCCGGUCCGCCUCACCGCGUGUACUGGUCCGGCCGGGCCUUUCCCUCUGUGGAACCUCAUGCCCUUCACUGGGUGUGGCGGGGAAACAGGACUUUUACUUUGAAAAAAUUAGAGUGCUCCAGGCAGGCCUAUGCUCGAAUACAUUAGCAUGGAAUAAUGAAAUAGGACGUGUGGUUCUAUUUUGUUGGUUUCUAGGACCGCCGUAAUGAUUAAUAGGGACAGUCGGGGGCAUCAGUAUUCAAUUGUCAGAGGUGAAAUUCUUGGAUUUAUUGAAGACUAACUACUGCGAAAGCAUUUGCCAAGGAUGUUUUCAUUAAUCAGGAACGAAAGUUAGGGGAUCGAAGACGAUCAGAUACCGUCGUAGUCUUAACCAUAAACUAUGCCGACUAGGGAUCGGACGAUGUUAUUUUUUGACGCGUUCGGCACCUUACGAGAAAUCAAAGUGCUUGGGCUCCAGGGGGAGUAUGGUCGCAAGGCUGAAACUUAAAGGAAUUGACCGGAAGA